UAAUAAUGGGGGGGGAAUGGUAGUCGAUGGAUCGUAGUGCGUAGUGCAGUCUCGUUGGAGCUGUCCUUUGUUGGUUGCUGUUUCCGUUCCUAAAUUCCUUGGUGUGCCAUUUUUGUCACCUGUAACAAAGCUCACUCUGGUUCCAUGACGUUCAUUCCAGAGAAGUAGUGCUGAGUAUUAGCUCACAACUCUUAUAACAAUUGUAGCAGUUAAAACACAUGAAGAUGAAGUUAAAACAAGAGUGGCCAAGGUUAAUGUUUAUGCAACAGUGUUAAUUGCAUGCUUAUUAAAAGAGCUUUAAAAUG